UUUUCAGACUCAGCCCGCCAGCACCCAGGUGAUUAAAAACUUUAUUGCUCACACAAAGCCUGUUUGGUGGUCUCUUCACAGGGACAUGCAUGAAAUUUGGUGCCAUGACUCGGAUCGGGGGACCUCCUUUGGGAGAUCAAUCCCCUGUCCUCCUGAUCUUUGCUCCAUGAGAAAGAUCCACCUACCACCUCAAGUCCUCAGACUGACCAGCCCAAGAAACAUCUCACCAAUUUCAAAUCCGGACCCCACUGAAAAUCAGACUGUUCAACUCACCUGGCAGCCACUCCCAGAGCCCCUGGAACUCUGGCCCAAGGCUCUCUGACUGACUCCUUCCCAGAUCUUCUCAGCUUAGCAGCUGAAGACUGACACUGCCCGAUCGCCUCAGAAGCCUAUAGGAACAUCACAGACGCUCUAGGUAACUCUCACAGUGGAAGACUCAGCCCACCUGCACCCAGGUGAAAUAAACAGCCAUGUUGCUCACACAAAGCCUGUUUGGUGGUCUCUUCACACGGACGUGCAUGAAACUACCUACACCCAUACGGAAGGGAACAAAUCAUGAAAAGUAAUGGAAUGCUACAGCCUAGUCAGUUUUGAGAAAAGGCUAACCAACAGCAACAACAACAGAUCAUAGUCAUGCUCAGAUUGCACAUGAACAAAAAAAUGUUGGAGAGAAACCAUUGAAAUAACUCACCGGUCCUCUUGUGUUGCUGCUUAUCUGAUUAUCUGAGGUC
rnacentral:lncRNA from 1 species